rnacentral:rRNA from 1 species
CAGCCGCCACGGUAAAACGGAGGGUGCAAGCGUUAAUCGGAAUUACUGGGCGUAAAGCGCACGCAGGCGGUCUGUCAAGUCAGAUGUGAAAUCCCCGGGCUUAACCUGGGAACUGCAUUUGAAACUGGCAGGCUAGAGUCUUGUAGAGGGGGGUAGAAUUCCAGGUGUAGCGGUGAAAUGCGUAGAGAUCUGGAGGAAUACCGGUGGCGAAGGCGGCCCCCUGGACAAAGACUGACGCUCAGGUGCGAAAGCGUGGGGAGCAAACAGGAUUAGAUACCCGAGUAGUCCCUGUCUCUUAUAC